UGUGGUGAUGAUGGCCUGAAGGAUACACCUGUUCCCAUGCCGAACACAGAAGUUAAGCUUCAGCACGCCAAAAGUAGUUGGGGGAUCGCCCC
rnacentral:rRNA from 1 species